AGUACAGUAAGGAGCCUAAACACUGCAGAAAUAGGUUCAUAGUCAUUUGAAGUGUAGUAGGUAACAAAAAGCCUUACCUAGAGAUACCAUAAACUUGCAGGGCUUAGCAAAAUGAAAUGAUGGCUAAGGUUCUCCAAACAUGGGCUAGCCUUUUUCCAGGUUUGACUGAGAAGGGAUCAGAAACAGGACACCUGAGAAAGGUGCUGAUUUCAGCCCAUGUAAAGCUGCUUCACUGGCAUAAGUGAGUAUCAUAUCCUGUCCUCUGUUUCUGCAGGUGCAUGAAACCCUGUUUCAAAGGAUUUUCAUCAGUACCAUAUUUUGGAAGGUCAGGCAGCAACAGCAAUGAACACAUGACAGCUGAAAGAUUAAAAGGCAACACAGCUCUUAAGUGGGAUUUUUAGCCAUCAGUUUGGUAGUAUACACAUGACAUACUUCAAUGGAUUAUGUUUAAAGCUCUACCACAGGUACAGACAGCACACACAAAAUGGUGUUACCAUGGGGUAGAAAAUGGACUUAUUACAACAGGACUAACCUUUGAAUGGCUUGGGCAAGAGGCCAGCAAGUGCCUUCCAGCUGCUCUUCCAGGUGCUGGCCCCUUUUUCCCUUUCACAGGAGUCUACCUCCUCGCACCUCUACUGGGCAGCCUCUCCCCAGAAGUACAUUCUCUUCCCUAAGGGUACGUGGUUGCAGACUGCUGCCCCAGCAAACAGGGAGAUGGCUACAGCUCAUCCUGCCUUGGGUUAGAGGACCAAGAAGGGCUUGGAAGACUGCUGGGAACUCAGAAAGGCUGGGACACCAGCUCUGGGAUCUAAACAGCUUCCAACACUCCAGGAGGUUCCCAGACGUGUAGCUAACAGUUGGCAAUGCACUGGAAAGUCAGAGUUAGAAAUUAUUGACCUGUAAGUGACAGGAUCAAUUCAUAGCACCUCAGGUCUUCCUGGAACAGGACCAGGCCACAUUCUAACAAAAAUUGCCAAAUUUAGCCAGAUUUAAUGUUUCAUUCAGGCUUCUCCAGGCUAGAAAGCCCCACUCUCUUGGAAAUGACAGUGGCUUCUCAUACUACAUGUGCGAGGCUCCUAGCACUACUACAUGAGUUUUUACCUUCUUUCAAACAACACGUUUCUGUCCUGUACAUCCCAGUCCCACUUACUGUCUCUGGCCUUACCUUUGCUUCCAGCUCUGAUCCCUUCCAUCUGCUGCUCUUAAUCAUCCAGUCAUAAACAUCCCUUUUAACAUCUGUGCUCAGCCGCUAGCUUGCUUUUCUUCUAGAAUGGCUGUUAGUUAUUGAUUGUUCAAAGUUAUACUGUAAUUAGCAAGUAACAAGUGAUUUCAUAGCUGUUUAAAAACUUCCAAGAAAAAGUUGGAACUUCAGGGGCGUGUAAAUAAAAAUAUUUAUAGUCAUUAUUAAAUAGGUUAAAAAGUAGGUCAUUCUUGUUUUAUUUCUUCUCUUUCCUCUGCCAUUUAGCUUUCAUGUGUGAGGAUUUUCCUUUUGUAAGUUACAUAGCUGCCUUAACCAGCACUUCUACCCUGUCUUGUAAAACCCAAAGAAACUGGACUGGGAACCUCUGGCAUGUUCUCAUUUGAGGCCUGUGCUCCAAACUCCAUCUUAAACACUGUUAGUAUGAGAAGAUGUAGUUCUGCUGAUUUCUGAGUGGUUUUUUUCCUUGUUUAUUUCCUUGGGGUUUUUUGUUUUAAUACUUUUAUGUAGAACUAAGCAGAGGAGUUUCUGCGUGGUGUGCCUUGACAUGCUACUUGAGUCACUCUGGCUUUGUUGAAGGACUGAAUUGACACCCGUCUUGGUUUACAGCUCUAUUCGUAGCUGCCGAGUCCUGCCUACCACAAUCAUUCCACAGCCUCAUAACUCAACAACCUGUCCCUUUUCAUGUCAACACAGCAUUUCUCUAAAGAAUGCUGUUGACCAAACAAAUACCUGCAGAGAGGAUGAGACUGCUAUUGCAUGUGUAGCUUUUUAAAAAAGUCAGUCGGCUGCUGAGGUGAUGAGAAUUCGGGGAAUUCUGUGCUAUAAAUGCACAGAUGUUUGUGGUACAUAUACGGCUUGCUUGCAGACAAAGCCAACACUUAGGAAACUUCAGCAUAUCGAGAGAAAUCUAAACAGGAGAUGUUAGUUCUGUCCUAGUGAAUUAUGUACCAGGCACAGAGACUGCAGAUUCUGAGGAUUAUUUUUGAAAAGUCAAGUGUUUUGAGUCCUACACCAUUCCUAAAUGCCCUGAGUGAAGCGGGGGCUGAAAUAAGAGAAGUCAGAUUCUGGUGGCAAAGGAAAUCUUUAUAUUGCUGCUAGCCUACAGUUUUCAGUUAUUGCCUUUAAUUAUUCUCAAAUUGUAUCAUAUUAGGCAUGGCUUAUUCAGGUGUUUCUCAGGGACAGCGAGUGUUUUGUUUCAGCAAAGCAUAAGGGUUACCAAAAGAAUGACUCCCAGCAAGUAAUAACUCAGUACAGAAAUGUAGAUUUAAUUCAGAGGAAACUAUUUCUAGGAUGUGUCAUCACUGACAGAACAGACUUUGGUUGGUACAAGCUAGUUAUUAAUGGCUUUCUGAUGUUAGGCAUGGUAUAGGCCUGAAUGUGAUUAAGUUAGUAGGAAUUCUACCACCCUUCAGUGACAAUGACGUUUAGUCCUGAACUGAAAAAUAGAAACUUCUUAGCAAGAGAGUAGCUAUUCUGAAUAAUUCAAUUAAAAUAUUAGAAAAUUUCAGGGUAAAUGGAAAGAGCAGACCUCAGCAUGAGUGAUUAAAAAGAACUACAGUUGUUAAGUUCUAAUUAUUAUGCAAAGGCUGAGAAGCUUAAAAAAUCCCUAAUGUUGCAGUUUACCAUUACCAGCCUUUUGAGUACCUUAUUUCUAGGUGAUGGCAUGAUUAACAUCUAACUAUGAAGGCAGCUCAAAUUCCUUACAAUACUGCUUUAGCUGCUACUAAUACUAUCAGUCCCAGCAGUAUCCUUAAACCUAGUUUUCAUCAUAUUAGUACACAAAUAAUUUGUUUCUCAACUGUUACUUUGAAACAUAUUGAUUUUUCAGCCUACACAUGUUUUUACUUGUUUGUGAUCUUAUCUUAUUCAAAUUUCAGAACCACACAAUUCACUGCUAAGAUAAAGAAUGCAAAAUUAUCCACCCAGUUUGGCUUCAGACAAACAAAUGCAACUCAAGACAAACAAAGGGAGUUGUAUUCAAGCGUUAUUUGGCUGUGUUCUUAAUAUUUCAGUACUUUGUGGAAGGAAGCAAGUUGGGUAACAAGCUGUUUUGACUUCAUAUCCAGUACACUUUCAGGUUUCUCUAGUCUCCAAAGCCAAGAAUCCAGUCUAAAGAUGCCAUAAAGCUUCAGCAUGCUUAAGGCAAGGCAGUGCCGUGCUUUUUUUCAAUCUUUGUUGCCAUGCUUUGGAAUACAAUAAAAGUUUUGCUGUAGAUAAAAAGAAAAGCACGUCUGAGACGUUACCUAAAUCUUCUACGCCUAGUCCAUAUAUGAUUUAUGCUCAGAGGAAGGAACCUUGGGCUGAAGCUGGUUAGAUCUGCUUUUUUUGCUGAAACAAGCUCUGAGCUUGAAGUGUUGCAUUAGAAGCACUCUGCUUUGACAGACUUUCAGCAGUCAGAGCUGAAGCCACUCUCCAAAAUGGGGCACUACACUGGCCGGGUCUCCAGUCUCUGACCUGCUGGCAAAUGGUCUGUGGAUACAGCAUCCAAAUCAUCCAUCUUGAUACCAGCUGACACGAAUUCCUCAAAGAGCAAUUUGUGACUUUUCCAGGAAAAGCUCAAGCCUCACAAGUGUGGACAUUGGCAUGUGACUGUUGCUCUUGUUAUCAUGUAGGAAACAGGGUCAGCUUUGUAGAGAGCAGCCUCUUGAUUGCUCUGGGUUAUUAAACUGGCAGCUUGAAAGCCGGCCUCCUGCAGCCCCAGAAACAUCCUCGCGAGACAGAGCAAGCCUGAACUGCAGCCCUGUGAAGACUGUGCUUUCUAGCUAGUUAAAACUGAUUCCUUGUCUUCUAGUGCAGUUUCAUUUUGGAGCGACUUGUUUGCCCCCAUCAGUACCAGGAAGAACAAGACCUGACUUUUUGAAUAACUUUUGUUUGUCCCCAGCAGGACUUGACACUUCUUGCCCAUGUUAUGCAAGGCUGUCCUACCCUACGUGUGACAGAACUGCUGGCAAGAUCUACCACUACCUUUCUUUACAGACAGGGCCGCUCCUUCAGUCCUGACUGAAUGGAAAGUGUUCACCAACUUGUGUUUUAUUUUAAUUUCCCCUGCACAGAUCUGGAAAGUGCCUGCCUAUAAAUACUUGCUUAGAGGGUGCUUGGGGAACCACUGUUUUCUCCAGGGAUUAGAUUGUGUUUUCAAGUCAUAUCUUGCCAUGGAAACAGACAGGAUGUGAUUGAAAUUGUCAUGAAUUUCUGAAUAUACAAAUCAAUCAAAACAGCCGGUCAAAAAAAUGAGGGUUGGGGAAAGACGGGACCGUUAUUUGUCAGUACACCACACUGAAAUGCCUAGAACUCCUGCAAUGGAUGUAAAAGGUUUGCUGUGGAACAUCCCUCUGUGCUCUUGAUCAGAACAAGAGACAAAGAGUAUUCCCAAAAAAUUCACCAUGUGUUUGACAGCCCUUAGCGAAGACUGAAGAAAGACUUCUGAAAUCUGGGUUUGUCCAGCAGAGCACAUAGUUUCUAUCAACUUUAGCAAACCUUGUAAUAAGUCUCAUUGUAUUGUUUUAAAGAUUACCUAAGAAACAAUCUAUAACAGUAGUUUACAGUAGUGUCAUUCCUAGGUAGGAAAUACCAAUUGCUUGGUGCUGGAAAUAUAUGUUAGCUAACUGGAAAGUGUUGUGGAGAUCAGAGAGAAUGUCAGUAGAGAAAUAAUUUUCUUAUCUUUGGCUUUGCUCAGCCCUUUUUCCUCUUUUGUGUGAACAAGUAGCAGUAUCACUUUGUUCCUUAUCCUCAUUAAUCCAUGGAAUUAUUAUUUUGUGUCUGAUCAUCAUUCAGCCUGGUUUGUAACUCGCUCAUGACGCUGGCCCAGUAAAAAGGGUGGUAGGAGCAUUCUGUCAGAAGGUGAGGGAAAAAGCUAUAGAAGGACUAUCUAAGUGAAAAUGUUUGGAAGUCAAAGGGAGGGCACAUGUUUGACUUCACAAAAGAAAAUGCUGGUUUCUGUUGCAACGUUGGUUACACAAUCACAUAAGGUUUUAUUUUUUAAAAGCAAGUAAAAAAAUUAUAGUGCAUCAGCUCCUCAACUGGUGUAAAUCAACAUGGUUUUAUUGACUUUGAUGGAGCUAUGUCAAUUUAUACCAGAUGAGGAUUUGGCCCACUGUAUGGAGAUAUUUUUAUUCCUCUUCUCACUCUAUCAGUUAAGGAAAGGGUAAUAAUCAGCAAGCUGGAAGCAAUUAUGUGUGUGUGAGGAAGGGGUAGUUUCAUAAUAGCUAACUUGAUAUUAUUUCCUGUAAAAUGCAUCAGGAGAAUAGAGCUUGGAGCCUGCUGACCAGUUUGUUUUGUGAAGAAAUAUUUGUUCAAAUCUGUUUAUAAUAAUUUGUCAAACGAUGAGCAGACUCGGCUCAAGCACUUGCCUUCCACUGACACCAGAGGCGGCAGUUCUGGUGCUGACCAGGACGCCAAGUGGCAGCCAACGAGGAAAGACCCAGGCAAAAUUUGGCUUUCACUUGCAUCUGCAUAAAUCUGGAGUAAUUCUACCAAAAUCAGCAGAAAUAUUCUCUAUUUACAGCAGUGUGCCUAAAAGCAAAAUUUGGCAGAGUUUUCAACUGAGCAUUUAUAAGCUGUUUCUGGCAGCAAAUAAGAAUGGGGGAGGGGAAGAUUAUUCAUUGCAGAUGCUUUGUGAGAUUAACAGAGGCUUUCUGGUGACAAUAAAGUCUACUAACAUAGUCACUUUUGGAAAAUGCUUUUAAAAAUAUGAUUUGAGGGAUUUUUCUGUCAUCCUUUAAUUCUUAGAGCAUUUCGUGGUGGUAAAAAGUGCUAACUGAGACCUCAAGUGAAAUGACCGGAAUUGUUCUCUUUACCCUAGUGAGGCAGAUGACUCCCAACCUGCAACACCAAGUGAGCUAAAGCAAUUGAUGGGAAACUAAGAUUCUAAGAAACCAUUUUGGAUAAAUGUAUUUCAUAAGGUUCAGCUUUAAUAUUGUUAAAGCCACAUACAGAAAUACAGAAAAUAUAGAAAGCUACACAUUGACAAGGGAUCUGAAGACAAACUAGUCACAAAUAAGACUGAAAAUUGACAGAUUUUUCAAAUCAGUUUUUUAAGUUAUAAUGCAGAUUAUUCUAAAGUAUCAACACUAGCACUGUUAACACUAAAGUAUCUCAACCAGCUUUUGCAAUACAACUCACUCAUCUGUUGUCUUUGCUGUCAGGGAUGUUUUAAACAUAUUUUUGUUUUUCACUUACAAAAGUAAUUAAAAUUACUUCAUGCUCUAUUAGAGUGGAUGCAGUUAUUCUAGGCUAACAAUGCCUCUAUCACUGUAGCUUGUACCCAUAUGGCUACCUCUUUCUGAACAGAUCUACAGUUAAAUUAAUCCCAAAACCAGCAUGGAGGUGAACCCUUAAGCAUUAGCAGACAACUCAUAAAAGACUGAAAGAUACGCGGUUCAGAAAUUGUUCUGGAAAGAUGUAUAAAUGCAGUUCUUGCCCCGACUACAGAGAGCCCCAUGGCACUGUGCAGCCCCUCUUCCCCAUGCCAGCCCUCUCCAGCCAUCCCUGCCGUCUUUCCCUGGGAAAGGUCAAGUAGCCUAUUAAUCACGCUCUUGUCUUUGAUUUGCAGUAUAUAUAUGUCCACCAUUUCCUGGAUCCUUUUGAAGCAAGGAACAAUAAGAAACUUUUCAAGGAAAGAGUGGUUUUCUUAUUUUGGGAUUCUUUUUUCAAUAGCUCAAAUAUAACCUCCUUAAAACCAACAUAAGAUAAAGGCGCUAUUUCAGCAAGUGCAGGUGACAGUGUUCUGACAUUGAAUUUAAAUCCACUUUAGGUAUAAGCUGCUAAGUUGGGGGUUUUUUUAUUCUGCAUGUUGUUAAAAUGCAUCUUUCACUGGUUUUGUUACACAGCUUUUUAGCUACUCAUGGAAAUUCAUGGGGUGCUUUUCCCCAGUAAGUUUCAAAUGUAUAUGCUGUUGUGGCCUGGAAAAGACAACUGCAGGGUCAUUAUCAUGUUUCUAGUGAGAACACAGAAUUGAAAAACAAGUGCAGUAUUGUAACCAGAACCACCUCUUGACUGAUUGAAUUUCUAUGCUUAUGUGUAUAUAUAUAUGUGUUAUAUAUAUAACAUAAUUAUUGGAGUUUUUUUAUAAAUGCAUGCACCCAGAUCCCUUUUACUAUUUAAUAUAUUGCACAAAACGUAACUGCUUACAGACAGCCUUCCAGAAUCAAUACCGCAAAACCAAUUCACACUAAGAAUAAUUUUAAAAGGAUGAGAAAACUUUAAGCAUGACACAUCAGUGAAAUGAAGGUAGGCUCUUUUCAUUAUUUUUCUGCUUAUG